GGCAACAUGGCCGAGUGGUCCAAGGCGCUGGAAUUAGGAAACUACGCCGUCGAAACGUGAGUUUUGGCGUCUCUCCAUCCAGUCCGUAACAGGGCGUGGGUUCGAACCCCACUGUUGUCA